UCGGGAAUUUUGCACAAUGGCCGAAAGGCUGAUGCAGCAACGCCGCGUGAGCGAAGAAGGCCUUCGGGUUGUAAAGCUCUGUUGCCUGCGAAGAAGGGCCCUGUCAGGAAAUGGGCGGGGUUUGACGGUAGCAGGCGAGGAAGCCCCGGCAAACUACGUGCCAGCAGCCGCGGUAAUACGUAGGGGGCGAGCGUUGUCCGGAAUUACUGGGCGUAAAGGGCGUGUAGGCGGCCUGUUAAGUCAGGGGUGAAAGACCGGGGCUCAACCCCGGGAGGGCCUCUGAAACUGGCGGGCUUGAGUGCUCUAGAGGGCAGUGGAAUUCCCGGUGUAGCAGUGAAAUGCGUAGAGAUCGGGAGGAACACCAGUGGCGAAGGCGGCUGCCUGGGGAGUCACUGACGCUGAGGCGCGAAAGCUAGGGGAGCAAACAGG
rnacentral:rRNA from 1 species